rnacentral:rRNA from 1 species
AGUGAACGCUGGCGGCGUGCCUAAUACAUGCAAGUCGAACGGAGUGGCGCACGGGUGAGUAAUGUAUAGCUAAUCUGCCCUACACUAGCGGACAACAGUUGGAAACGGCUGCUAAUACUCUAUAGUGUAGGAUGAGGCUAUAAUGUAUCAGCUAGUUGGUGAGGUAAUGGCUCACCAAGGCUAUGACGCAUAACUGGUCUGAGAGGAUGAUUCGUCACAGUGGAACGGAGCCACGGCCCAGACUCCUAGCGGAGGCAGCAGUAGGGAAUAGUGUUGAAUGGGGGAAACCCUGAAGCAGCAACGCCGCGUAGAGGAUGACACUUUUCGUAGCGUAAACUCCUUUUGUUAGGGAAGCGGUACCUAACGAAGAAGCACCGGCUAACUCCGUGCCAGCCGCCGCGGUAAUUC